UACGAAGGGGGCUAGCGUUGCUCGGAAUCACUGGGCGUAAAGCGCACGUAGGCGGACUCUUAAGUCGGUGGUGAAAUCCUGGAGCUCAACUCCAGAACUGCCUUUGAUACUGAAGAUCUUGAGUUCGGGAGAGGUGAGUGGAACUGCGAGUGUAGAGGUGAAAUUCGUAGAUAUUCGCAAGAACACCAGUGGCGAAGGCGGCUCACUGGCCCGAUACUGACGCUGAGGCGCGAAAGCCAGGGGA
rnacentral:rRNA from 1 species